rnacentral:lncRNA from 1 species
UUUGAAGUAGCCUUGAGUAAAAGGAGAUAUUCAUGAUCCGGGGGAAAAAUAAUCAGUUUUAUUCUAAAACUGAUGCUGCGUCUUUUGGAAAGAGUAUUGUUACCUAUGGAAUAUUUUGAAGUUUACAAUACAUAAAACUUAAAUCUCAGCACGCACGACUCUGGGGGGGAAAAGUCAUUAGUCACAAGAAGAGGAAAUAAACUAACUCAUUAGGCCAUGGCAUCUGAGUCACUAAAUUAAUUCAGAAGGGGCUGGCUUCCUCCACAUGUGGAAUCCCAGGUAUUCAUUUAUUCAUCCAAUUUGUGUCACGCCCUUGAUAGCUUCUCCAUCCGUGUGCCAGGCCGCGGAUGUGCAGAUGCAGAACACAGACUCACUUCUGGGAAGGAGGGGACGGCCGGCCUGCGGCUCCACGGAUGCUGGCGUUAAACCCGCAGCAUAAGUUAGGGCUACAAACAUUGCAGAGGAAGGAGAAACCUGAGAAGGAGGUGGUUUUCUGUGAGUUCCAAGUGUGUCGCUGUGACCUGGGAAGUUUAGGCUCUUCAUGUAGAAGUAUGACCCCUUCCUGAGUGGUAAAAGCUGCUUUAAGAAAGUCCAAAACGCCAUGGAAUACUUUUCUGUCUGAAGAGCCAGGUAGGAUUGGGCUCUUUCCAGGAAAGAGGUUAAACGCAAAAAGGUUUUCUCAGGCUGUAGUGACAGGAAUCCCA